UACAGAGGGGGCGAGCGUUGUUCGGAAUUACUGGGCGUAAAGGGUGUGCAGGCGGGGAAGCAAGUGGGGUAUGAAAUCUCCCAGCUUAACUGGGAUAGGUUAUGCCAGACUGCUUUUCUAGAGGACGAGAGAGGGGGGUGGAAUUCCGGGUGUAGUGGUGAAAUGCGUAGAGAUCCGGAGGAACCCCAGAGGCGAAGGCGGCCCCCUGGCUCGUACCUGACGCUCAGCCACGAAAGCAUGGGGAGCGAACGGG
rnacentral:rRNA from 1 species